rnacentral:rRNA from 2 species
UUCCCCUUCGGGGGACAAAGUGACAGGUGGUGCAUGGUUGUCGUCAGCUCGUGUCGUGAGAUGUUGGGUUAAGUCCCGCAACGAGCGCAACCCUUAAGCUUAGUUGCCAUCAUUAAGUUGGGCACUCUAAGUUGACUGCCGGUGACAAACCGGAGGAAGGUGGGGAUGACGUCAAAUCAUCAUGCCCCUUAUGAUUUGGGCUACACACGUGCUACAAUGGACAAUACAAAGGGCAGCGAAACCGCGAGGUCAAGCAAAUCCCAUAAAGUUGUUCUCAGUUCGGAUUGUAGUCUGCAACUCGACUACAUGAAGCUGGAAUCGCUAGUAAUCGUAGAUCAGCAUGCUACGGUGAAUACGUUCCCGGGUCUUGUACACACCGCCCGUCACACCACGAGAGUUUGUAACACCCGAAGCCGGUGGAGUAACCUUUUAGGAGCUAGCCGUCGAAGGUGGGACAAAUGAUUGGGGUGAAGUCGUAACAAGGUAGCCGUAUCGGAAGGUGCGGCUGGAUCACCUCCUUU